UCAAACUUGGUCAUUUAGAGGAAGUAAAAGUCGUAACAAGGUUUCCGUAGGUGAACCUGCGGAAGGAUCAUUAACAAUUAUCCAACUCCUGGAUAAAAAUUAUCCAUAUCCACCUUGUGUGAACCAUGUAUCGUUUAUUGGCAGGUGUAACCACUUUUCAUUUGCGAGAAGGGGUUAAGAUGGUAAGGUUUAUUCCUCCAUCUAUGGACGGAGGACAUUCGUUCAGCCUGCCAAUUUUAUAUGUCUAUACACGUCUAAACCAUGUACGACUGAAUUUAUUUUAAUUAAAUAAUAAAUACAACUUUCAACAACGGAUCUCUUGGCUCUCGCAUCAAUGAAGAACGCAGC
rnacentral:misc_RNA from 1 species